CAGCUUUGAGUUCCAGCUGCAACCAGGAACCAACACCAAAACAGACUGGGAAGCUCUGGCUGCUUUCAGCAAAUAGGAGCAGGUUCUGGUGCUUCCUGUAAGACACAAAACUGACUGGAGCAGGCCAGAGCACGUCUUGAAAGCUCCUGAGACUUGUCACAAACUUUCACUGAUAAGCUGUUAAUUACUCCUUUGCUGUUGUCAUGUUGUCCUCACUACAAUUCUGUUAUGAAUUGGUUGCAGAGAAAGAACUCAUUUUCUCCCAAGCUCUGUGUGUAUCAUCAAGGCAAGCAGUGAGUCAACAUCAGAGCAAAUUUGACUUCAGUGGUUUUGUGGUUUAACCCUCUGCAAGGUGCAUCUGCUGCUUUCCAGUCCUCAGCACAGGACCACUGUUCUCUGCAUUACCAACUGCCCAGAGCUGUGCUUUUUCUACCCACAGUAAAGUUCUAACCUACAAACAUGUCCAUGAAAACUGGAGGAGCUCCAUGGAAACUAAGGCACAACUCCAGCCGUUCCCUCGGGUCCUGUCACACCAGAAGAGAUCGGUGCUGCCCCUCCACUGCCCCUCCCGAGGGAGCUGCAGCCCACGGGGAGCUCUGCCCUCAAUCUCCCCUCCAGGCGGAACAAGCCAAGUGCCCUCAGCUGCUCCUCAUAAAGCUUUCCCUCUAUUUACCAUUUAAAUAAUAGUGCACAAACACUGGGUGUUAUCCUUUUCCCUUUGGAGUCAGCAGAGAGUCCUUCCCCCUUUUAUUCUUUGUAGAAAAAUGUGUGUUCACUUUUCCCCUACAGUCAGUCAUGAGAUACUCAAGUUCCAUUGUCAUUUUACACUGCUGGAUUAAACAAGGUAGGGGUGCAGAGAAAAGUGAUUUGUGCAAGUUUACAUGUAAAGCUGGCAUGAGAAAUACUGUCUUGCAGCUCUGGAUGAGUUAUUAUUGCAUUUAUCAUUAUUACAUAUGUUACCACUUAUAUUUGCAUCAUUACCUGAUCAAAAGAAACAAAAGCAAUAAUAAAAUCUGUCAGCCAAAGUUGCACAUUUCAUCUGGGUCUGGGAAUUCACCACAUAGAUUGCUAGGCCUGGUUUUCACUCCAGUAUGCUGUGCUUUAGAGACUUGGUACAUUUUUAAUCAAUCAAACUCCAUCUGGCUUAUCACAACACUCCUAAUUCAAGAUGUAACAUAAAUACACAAUUUAAAUGUUAAUCUUUAGAACAGACAGAAAUUCAGGUUUACAGUUAAUGAUCUACUUCCACAGAAUAUUUCUUCCUUUCAAAAAUAUGUUUUGAGACCUUUAAAAAUACAGAGAUAAUUAUGAACUUAAUCUAUAGUUUUAGGUUUUCUAACCUCAGGCUCUGUGGAAUAACUGAAAUCAUUAAGUUCUACUGUACAUUUGUAUCUGGGUGAGGAAAGAUUCCAACCAAGUGUCCUGGGCUCCAAAACAUACCCUAUGCCAUCUGAGUACCCACACAGUGUUUGUGUGUGUCUUUAUUCAGCCAAGAAAAAGCAUGUGCAUACAUACAAUUUUAAGUUUAAUUUGCUAUACUUACCUAGGCUACCAUGCAAUAGCAAUGUUGCUAUGGGAACAGGUUUUCAGAAAAGUAGAUCACACAUGACAGGCAGCACACUUUUGGAUGUUUUUUGUAUAUAUUAUGCCAGGGUGAAUAGCAAGCAUAUCAAAGUAAAGGCUAACUUUAAGUCAUGUAUGCCCUGACCUACAAUGAGAUUCCAUUGAUCAUUUUGAAUUAUAUUUUUUUAAGGAUUCUACAAAGCACUAGUUGUUUCCAGGUGUGUGAGAAUUCUUUUCCCUCAUCCUUAUGUACUUUACAUUUAAUUUGUAAUUUCCUAUCUUCCUAUCAUGUCCUCCCCUUUUACUUUUAUUUUUGCCCGAAUAUAUUCAUAAUGCUCAUUUACUCAUUCAUUCUUCCUGCCCAUUAUAUUCAUCUUUCUUUCUUUUUUCACUCUUUCUCUCUCUGUCUCUGGAUUUUGCAGUCUCCCUUUACUCACAGUGUUAACCCCAGACAAAACACUCAGCAUUUGCUCUGACACGAGGGCCAGCAGACACCCAGAGCCAUGAUAACAAUACUUAGAGUGGCAUUUUGUCAUUCAACAAAAUGGAAUAUGUAUUUCUUCCUUCCACCUCCUCAAGAGAAAAGAGGAAGAGUCACUUCUGCUUUUUGUUUUAUGCAUUAAAAAAACUAUGGCAAAAUGACAUACACUUUCAUUUGUUCUUUCAAAAUCUCUUAAUAAAUCCAUUUUUCAGAGUUUAUUUCCUACUGUGCAGAGUAGCAGGUAUGAUGUUUUCUGUAAACUGAUGAUAUAACCUUUACAUCCUAGCUGAGAAUUUCCAAAACAUCCCCAAAUCUUUAAAAUGAAAGGUAACACAAGCAGCCAGCUGAAGAACAG